CUUUCAAUGAUCCUGCAUCAUUUUUAGCUACAAAUAAUAAUUUAGUAAUAGUAUAAUAUGAAAUUCUAUCCAAAUCACAUUCAAUUAAAAAUUUAUACACAUUUUGCAAAUUAUUCAAUUUAGUCCCUAAAACCGAUAUAGUCAUAUAUUUCAAAUUUGAUCUUCAAUUUUAAAAUCGAUCUCAGUUACAUCAUUCUAUAGCCCUAUAUUAUCUAUAAUUAUAGAAAUAUUACACCAAUUUCAAAAUUUAUGCAUUUUAGUCCCUAUGUUUAAAAACUAGCAAUUUAUCUUUACAAUCUAGUCCUUUUCACUUCUAAGCUUAAAAUCUAACAAUUUAGUAUCAAUUUAGUACCAAUUUAUUCAAGCAUUCAUCAAUGGAAACUUUUAGAAACUUUAACAGUAAAUAGUACACGGAUUAACUAUCUCAAGCUCCCACAAUCUCAAAAAUAUAAAAGUUAUAAGAAAUAAACUUGAAAUUGCUUACCAAUUGAAGUACUAAAGUUGAAAAGUUUCAAACCCUUUUCAUAGUUCAAUUUUCAGCCAGGGAAAAAAAGAUGAAGAAAAAAAAUGGUGACAUUUUAAGUUUUAGCUUAUAUACUUUUGAUUAAAACCUAACUAAUCAUAAUUAUUUAAUUAACCUUUAAUUAAGUAAAAUUUAAUUACAAUUAAUAAGUUAGUGGAUUUUAAUGCCAUUCCACCACCGUUUGACAUUUUAAAAUAGGUUCAGUUUCUUAAUUGGCCCCUCGAUUAAUUAAAAAUUCAUAAUAAUUAACGUUUAUAACUUUUACAAUUUAGUCCUUGUACUAUAAUUAACUAUCCAAUUAACAAAAUUAAAAUAUAAAACUUAAAUUAACAUUUCUACUAACCUAAUAUAAUAUUUACAGACUCGAAUAUCAAAAAUAGGGCUCCGAAACUAUCAUUUUUGACACCACUGAAAAACAUGUUGUUACCAUUUAAUUAAAUUUAAUUUAUUUAGUUAAUCCACUAUUGACAUCACCAUCCACUAACACCAACCUUGACAUUAUAUAAUUGUUAUUUUAGACCUUAAGUUAUUUUCUAAUAAAAAUAUCUACUGAUUGGACUUUAUAAUUUAGUCCCUGAACUAUAAUUAAUCACUAAUUCGGCUAAAUUACCUACCCAAAAUUCAAUUCACCUAUAUAAUAAGUCCAUAAUCACCUAUAUUUAAUAUUUACAUACUCUUUUAUGGAAAUAGGGUCCCAAACCCGUAAUUUCUGACAUAACAAGAAACUAGGUCGUUACAAAUAUAGAGCCGCAUCGACCUAUCUUUCUUUUUAACGAACAAUACUGGAGCUCCUCACAGCGAAAUACUGAAACAUAUAAAGCCAUAGUCCAGGAGAUCUUGCAAUUCAAUUAUUAGUUCUUUGAGCUCUAUUGGAGUCAUGCGGUACGAAGCAAUAUACACAGGAGCUGCACCGAGGCAAAUCUCCAUUGCAAAUUCAACUUCACUAACGAAAGGUAAUCCUGAAAAUUCUUUAGGAAACACUUCUAAGAACUAACAUAAUGUAUGGAUAUUACUCGUUUAGUUUUCAUCCGAGUCUAAGUUAAUAAUGUAAGCCAAAUAUGCUUCACAGCUUUGAUUUAAAAGUUUAUUAGCUCAAACUGAUGAAAUGAUACGAGUAGAGCACUCAUUCUUACACCAUUGAAUUCAAUAAUUUCACCUUCAAGAUUUGCACAAAGAACUUUUUUUUACAAUAGUCCAGAACCACACUGUGCUCGGUCAUCAAGUAUAUUCCCAUAAUUAUAUCAAAAUCAUUAAACAGUAUGAUUAACAAAGUAACUAAGAAUAAGUUAUUCUAGAUUUCUAAUGUGCAUCGCUUGUGCACUUGAUCAACGAGUACAAUUUAUUUCAAAGAACUUGGGAUAAAUGUUGUUAUACUUAACAACUCAUUUCAAUUUCCCUACCACAACAUCAUAAAUUCUUAUUUCCAACCUCCCAUAUGUCAUUCAUCAACAUACUUUUUUUGAAACUUGGAUUGGAAGAAUGUUUAAGUAACCUAAUUCACUGGCACAUGACAGGUGACAAUUAGCCACCAUUAACAUAGCUCUCUCUUUAGAAGAGAUACAAUACAGAUGACAUACUUAGGCAGUGGGCAUUCUAAUUGUUGAACUCACUCGGUUAACUCUAACCAAACUUCAACUAAAGAAGGGCCAACACCUUCAACCUUUAGAAAUCAAUUGUUUCAUACUUUUGCAACCCUUUUAUUAGGGCAGGUUGAGCUGCAACUACUAGUGCAACUUGUUGGGAAACUCCUGCUACUUUCUGGGGUACAUCCACUAGUGUGUAGAGUAGAUCACUAUCACCUCGACCCUCAAACUAAGGUUUAUUAAAUCUAUUUCGUUGUCAAGCACCGUCUUGAUCAAUCACGUGUCUUGGCCUUCAACUAAAUGAUCUCCUUCGCUAUUCUCAUACCACAAACUGCUUCGAGUAUGGGCUCAAACCAAUUAAAUUAGAGCACUGAACUAGAAAAAGUUUUCUUUCUUUUUGGGGUGAGAACAAAAUUUCUCUCUUCUUAAUAGAAACUUGUAGAAUUGUUAUUCUGGAAAAAGAUAUGUUAUAGUUGAGAAUAAAUUCUCUCUAUUUUUCGGUAGAAUAAUAAUAUUUCAAAGUUGUGUUAAUAGCUCUACCGGUGCCAUCUAUUUAUAGGAAAAGCAAAUAGAACCCUUGUUGAGUUAUAGCAGUUUAUUUCAAAUAGAAAAACAAUAUAUUACUUAGAAUAGGACUAAGGUGGACGACACACCCUAGUUUUCCUACUAGGGUUGCUGCCCCUUUCAUGUCCAUGAGGGGUUUUUGGGCCUUUCUCACAUUGGGUCCAACUACGAGUACUUCCUAAGUUUUUUUGACCCAGUACUCUGUAAUGUGAUCCAACUUGAUUCAUUUUUUCUAUUUCCCAAAAUAAAAUUUAAUAUUCAUAUAUAAAAUAAAUUUCUCAUCCCUAUUUUACCCCUAGUAAAAUUUUGACGAUUUUACCCCUGGUUAAAUUUCGAGAAAAUAUGUUCAAUAUUUCACAUCUCAACGUGUUCACUAUGACCGAAUGAUUUAUUUUUAUUUUCGGGCUUCAAAACAGUCCAAAAACAUAAACUUAUUAUUCUGAUCAUUUUUUUAAGUAUUCCAUAUAGGAUUGCAAAUGGAUCAUUUCCAUUUUCAUUAUAAUUUUCAUUUCCAUUUCCAUUUUUGGAACCUACAUUCAUUUUCAAAUAAUUUCAUUUCUCCAUUUUAAGGAAAACCAUAAUCAUUUCUGAAUGUUUCUCAUUUCUUUUUUUCCUAUUCAUUCUGUUCAUUUCUAUUCAAACACGCAAUUUAUUUUUGUUUUCAAUGAGUUAACGGAGGGACCGAUUGGACAUAUGUAGUUGAGACUCAAAUGAUUUAUAAUUAAGUUUCAGCUUUUCGCCUAUUAAUUAUAAACUCAUUUAGUCACAAAUUCAUUCCACUAUAGUAUCAUGACUGAGCUCUCCCUAACGACAUACCAUUAUGAAAGUAACUACUCAGUACUCAUCCAAUGACCUUAUCAUGUGUUACCCUCAAAAGAUAUUCUUGAUCUCUUUGGGAUAAUAUCUACUCUCCCAAUAUGAUCUUAUUUUAUAUCAUGGUAAUCAUUACAUAUUCCUUAAUGAAAAGUCAAUCACUAUCAAAUAAUGAUCAAGUAAUCCAUCAGAAAAACAAACCCAUGGUCACAUUUAUUUUUCAUCAACUAUGUAAUGCCUAUGAGAAGAUAUCAUUUACCCAUAUCUCAGGCUAUAAAUUCUACUAUUUUCAAUGACGCUACAUACUGCAGUAGUUGUACACCCAACGGACCAUAUUUCGGUUCCUUAUCUAUUUGAACUCAAGAUUUUACUUAGAUCAAAGUGUACGAGUCACGAACAUAUAGUCCGCCAUCCAUUCAGGAUUUAAGUAUGCUUCACUAUGAAUGUCGCAAGUGAAUAAAUCCAUAAACGGAUUAAAAUAGCCACCUACUUUCCAAGAAAAACUACUGGUGGCUAGUGGAGCUUUUGCAAAUAAUAGGCAUCGUCAUCUAUCCAUCACAACUUGUGAAGACAACAAAGAUACCUACAAAAUAUAUCUACAAACUGAAAAGAGAGAAGACAUGUGUAGUGAAUGAGAAAAAAAAAGAAAGAAAGGGUUGACAGGAGAGAAAAAAGCAGGCGAUAGCCAACCCAGAGAUUGACACCACCGCUGAGCAAAACAAAAGAUAAGAAACAAACAGCUUAAAAAAAAAAAAAGAAAAUUUUAGAGCUUUUCUUAGCAAAAUAUAUUUACUUGAGCAUAGUUCUAUAUGCUUUUAUUUUUAGUAACUAUAGUUUAAAUUUGCAAAUUUCAUCUUAUAAAAUUGAUUGAGGUUUCAUUUUAAAUUUACUUUUUCAAUGUUACUUAUAAAAUAACCACUCAUGAAGUAGUCAAAAUAUAAGCACUAUUUUCUUUAUGAGGGAAAAAGAAGAGAUAUUUAUCGCUUUCUUGAAUCAUAAUCUAAACAUAAAAAAAUUAUUAAACAAUAUACAAAUCAUAUUUAGAGCUAUCCUCAAAGUUCAAAUGAUAUUAGUAAAUUUAUAAAUUUCAAUUCACGUAAAUCUUAAUUAUAAGUAAGAAUUAAAAAAAUUAUCAUGUGUCUGCUACCCUAGCACACCUUUGUCUGUCGCCACUGGCAAGAGUAUUAGGUUUUCCAUGUUCUUUUGUAAUUUUGUCCUUUGAAAUCUAUGGUCUGCGUAAGUUUUUCUCUUGCAACAGGAAUCGUGACCCAUAAAGUUGAAGAUUUAUACCUGCGUAUUAUGGAGGAUGAAUUAGCCCAAUUGUCGAUUAAUGAAGAAGAGGGGGAAAUUAUUCACAUUCCAAUUGAUCCAAGUUUGAAAAAUGGGGGCGAGUUUACUCAACUAGUAGAAUGUUUUCUCACAGCCAGCACGAUCCACUUCCCAGCAAUGAAAAGCACAAUGGCGAAUCUGUGGCAUUCGGUUCAGGGAGUACGAAUUCGAGAUCUAGGGGAAAAAAAGGUAUUUGUUUCACUUCUUUCACGUUAUGGAUAUGGAUAGGAUUUUGAAAGGUUCACCUUGGACCUUUAAUAAUCAUCUGCUAGUGCUUUACAAAUUGGAAUUAGGGGAGGAUCCGUUACAGGUCCUUCUAGUUUUGACACCUUUUUGGGUUCAGGUUCAUGAUGUGCCUAUUGGCCUUUUCUUUAAAAACUUGGCUACCCAGUUAGGUAAUUUCUUGGGGAAUUUUAUAGAACACGAUGUCUCAUAUCUGGGGAAAGAAAACAGGAAUUUUAUAAGAAUUAGAGUUCAAAUUUAUAUAAGGUGUCCUUUGAAAAUAAGGAAACAAAUUUUAUUUGGUGGAAAACGCUCAUAUGUUACUUUUAAAUAUAAACGAUUAUCAUUGUUCUAUUUCUAUUGUGGGAGAUUGGGUCAUAAUGAUUCAUUUUAUAAGGCAAAGAUGAACCUCAGAGUGGAAAUUGUAGAAAUGGGCUGGGAUUUAUGUAUAAAAGCACAAUCACGAAGGGCGUUAUCCAUGAAUAGUGUCUGGCUUCGAAAGGAAGUCGAUGGUGAUAAGAGAGGAACCGAUACAGAAUUUAGAGGUUUCAGAAUGGGCCAACAACAACUGGGGUGGAAAAUAAAAUAUGGGAAAUCUGUUGAUCCAAUUCUUGGCUUUAAUCUGGAAUGAGGUUUUUCUUACGUAGGACGAGGAAAGGAGAAUUUAGCCCCAAAUGUGAUGGACCAUGAUUUGAAGGAUGUAGCUCUUGUAAGGGAAGAGGGGAAGAAGAGGUAUAGAGAGGAAAUUAAAGAUUUAACAGGAAAAGAAGAGACGAGUAAUAUCUUGGCAAGAAGUAGGAGAAUAGUGGAUCUUAAUCUGGUUUUUAUAGGACACCAUAUACGCAAGAUAGAGAAGAUUCAUGAGAAACUUUGAAAAAUCUCCAUAAGGAUGAAGACAACCCUUGGUUUUUCUGUGGAGAUUUUAAUGAAAUUAUGUAUAAUUUUGAAAAAAAAGGGAGGCUUGCUUAGAGAUGAAAGAAGAAUGGAGAUGUUCCGUGAAGCUUUAGAUUUUUGCCAUCUAUCUGAUGUGGGAUAUUCUGGUAGAUGGUUUACUUGGGAAAGAGGUAAUUUAUCAUAAAUAAAUAUUCAAGAGCAUCUGGACUGGGGCGUCGCUAAUGAGAGUUAGAUUUCCAUGUUUCCUGAGGUAAGAGUUGAACACCUGGUACACUCUUUUUCUAACAAUUGUCCCAUUUUCAUUAACACAAAGGAAGACCAACGAAAAAAAGCAAGCCAAUUCAAAUUUGAAUCCUGGUGGAUUUUGGAAGACUCAUUCGUCGACGAAGCUAAACAUUUAUGGGGGAUGGCAUCCGGAGAUUUUCUGAAGAAAAUGGAAACUUUAAAAAAAGGGCUAAUAAACUGGGCAAAAUAAGUGUGAAGAAAUAAACAGGGGAAAAAAGAACUUCUAGCAGCCAAGUUAUCAACACUGACUGAUGCCAAAAUGGAUGAUUCUAACCUAGCUGAGAUGAUUGAUACAAAGAUCCAGCUAAACUUUGAAAUUAAAAAAGAUGAAAGAUACUGGGAACAACGGGAUAGAUUGAACUGGCUAAAACUCGAUGACAAAAACACAGCUUUUUUCCAUAGUCAAGCAACGCAAAGGAAGAGGAAUUUGAUAAGCAAACUACAAAACAGCAGCGGUUGGAAAACGGAUGACAUUCAGGAAAUGGAAAGUAUUGCACAAUCCUAUUUUCAAAAUUUGUUCUCUUAAAAAAUCAAGAGAAUUAUGAUCGUUUGCUUUCGGGAAUUGAUCGAUGCGUCUCUGAGGAAGAUAACAGAAAGCUUACAGAGAAUUGUACAAAAGAAUAGAUGAGAGAGGCUUUAUUUGAAAUGCAUCCCACGAAGGCACCUGGCGAAGAUGGAUUUCCUGCUCUUUUUUACCAAAAAUGUUGGCACUUUAUUGGAGAUGAGGUUACUGCUUUUUGUUUACACCUCUUAAAUGGAGAAAUGGAGGUCAGUUCAAUUAACUCAACUCAUACUAUUCUUAUCUCAAAAAUCAAUAACCCUUCUAAUAUGUCCUAUUUUAGGCCUAUUUAAUUAUGCAAUGUUAUUUAUAAAAUCAUGGCUAAAGCUAUAGCAAACAGAUUUAAAGGUGUCAUUAACAAAUGCAUUAAUAGCGCGUAAAGUGCCUUUGUGCCAGGAAGAUUAAUCUCAGAUAAUAUACUGCUAGCCUAUGAGUUAUUGCACACACUUAAACAAAAGAGAAUGGGGAAAAAGGGAUAUAUGACGGUUAAACUAGACAUGAGUAAAGCUUAUGACAGGGUUGAAUGGAGAUUUAUCAGGGAGACAAUGUUGCGAAUGGGUUUUGCCCAAAAAUGGGUUGCUUCUGUUAUCAACUGCAUGUCUACUAUUUCUUAUCAAGUAGUGCUCAACAGAAGUGUUGGAGGAACUUUCCGUCCAACAAGGGGGCUUCGACAAGGUGGUCCAUUGAGUCUGUUUCUUUUCUUAAUAUGCAGAGAGAGAUUAUCUAGCCUCAUGAGAUUAACUACAAAAGAAGGUUUAUUAAAAGGAGUCAAGUCAAGCAAAAGCAGUCCACGAGUAACACAUUUACUAUUCGCAGACGAUUACAUUUUAUUUGGAAAAGCGUCAAGUAAAGGAGCUCUAGCAUUCAAGGAGAUUCUUAGUGAGUAUAAAAAAUGUUUAGGUCAAUGUGUGAAUUUUGCUAAAUCGACUGUUUUCUUUAGUAAAAACACGCUAGAGGAGGAAAGACAAUUAGUCGUCAAUUUGCUGGGAAUUCGAAGUUUAGAUGAGCUAGAGCGAUACUUGGGUUUGCCAAACAUGGUUGGUAGAAGAAAGAAACAAUCUUUUCAAGCCUUAAAAGAUAGACUGAAACAGCGGAUUGAAAAUUAGAGUAUUCGUUUCUUAUCGCAAGGUGGAAAAGAGAUAUUCAUAAAGGCUGUGCUGCAAGCCAUACCGACAUAUUCAAUGGCUUGUUUUUUACUCCCGAAGUCACUACGUGAAGAAAUGGAGGGUAUUGUUGCGAAAUAUUGGUGGAAAAAGGGUCGUGGAAAAGGGGAAAUUCAUUGAUGCUCUUGGAAAAACCUUUGUUUUUUAAAAGAAAACGGUAGGAUGGGUUUUCGAAAUCUUAGUCAGUUUAAUAUUGCAUUGUUAGCCAAGCAGGGUUGGCGAUUAUUAAAUUAUCCAAAUUCUCUUUUAGCUAGAGUACUUAAAGCCAAAUAUUAUCCAAUAUCUAGUUUUCUAAAUUCACAGUUGGGAAACUUACCAUCUCUUACCUGAAGGAGUAUUUGGGCAGCGAAAGGGCUCCUUCUUAAAGGUCUCAGCUGGAGAGUCGGGAGAGGAGAUGUAAUAUCUAUUUGGACUGAUCGAUGGAUACCAGGGAUUGAACCUGAGACGUGGCAAAACAGAGGAGACAAUGGUGAGUUAGCUUUAGUAUCCGACCUUAUUGAUAGCACAAAUAAGAAGUGGAAGACGGAGAUAAUUACAACUACCUUCCAAAGGGAUAUCGCUCAAAAAAUCUUGCAGGUUCCACUUGCGAGAACAGAUUGUGAGGACAUGCAAGUGUGGAAAGAGGAACACUCCGGUGAGUUUUCAGUACGAAGCGCUUACAAACUAUUACAAGAAGCUAGCUUGGAUCCUAGUAGUUAUUUAGUAUAGGCCGAAACUAAAUAUCUCUACAGGAAAUUAUGGAAUUUACAAUUACCAACAAAAAUCUUAAUACUUAUAUGGCAAAUUUCCUGGAACUAUAUCCCAUCACUAGUUAAUCUUAGAUACAAGAGAGUGGUCACUAAUGCUAGUUGUCCACGAUGCUACUCUGCAGAAGAAGACGGCUACCACGUGUUUAGGCAAUGUC
rnacentral:lncRNA from 1 species